GGUAAUACAGUCAUAGCUGAUGCAACCUGUUGAGUGGAAAUUAACUGCAGUCGAUGUCCAACUCAUCAGAAGAACAAAUAGAAGUCUGAGGACAACAUGCGAUACAUAUCAGACCGUCAUUCCUCGCGAAAAGGCCCUGUUGGACGAUGGCCACCGGUCUCCAGGCUUUCACAGUGCGAACCAUGCAGGUGUAUUGUUGAAUCUGGAGUGAACAAGCCCAGACGGAACAGGGAGGACUUGCAGGAGGAAGCGAAUAGCUACUGGAGGAAAAGGUUAACAGGAGCUCCAGAAAGUGGAUGAAUUUGUUGAGGGCGCUAUACACCGUGGCCAUGGCUGGUGCCUAUGGAGAUGAGGGGGGCGUGGCUAGGAUUAAUUAAAGGGGUGCGCAGUCACAUCCCGAAUGGUUUUGGAUUUUGUUCAGAAAUGAUCCUCAAGAGCCAGAUUAUAGUCUCACUUAAAAAUCCUAUGGAUGAACCAUUCCAUUGGUUUGACCUGUACAUGUAUACAUAAGAGUCCUGGCAAGAAUUGCAAUCACAAGUCCAUCACAAGUCAAUCAC